rnacentral:rRNA from 1 species
UACGUAGGGUGCAAGCGUUAAUCGGAAUUACUGGGCGUAAAGCGUGCGCAGGCGGUUGUGCAAGACAGAUGUGAAAUCCCCGGGCUUAACCUGGGAACUGCGCUUGUAACUGAGAGGCUUGAGUGUGCCAGAGGGGGGUGGAAUUCCACGUGUAGCAGUGAAAUGCGUAGAGAUGUGGAGGAACACCGAUGGCGAAGGCAGCCCCCCUGGGGUAACAC